AAGCCGCCGCGGUAACACCAGCCCCGCGAGUGGUGGGGACUAUUAUUUGGCCUAAAGCGUCCGUAGCUGGCUGUAUCCGUCUCCCGGUAAAUCCGGCGUCCUAAGCGUCGGUUCUCGGGUGAUACCAUACAGCUAGAGGGUGGGAUAGGUGAGCGGUAUUUCUGGGGUAGGGGCGAAAUCCUUUGAUCCCAGGAGGACCACCAGUGGCGAAGGCUGCUCACUAGAACACGCCUGACGGUCAGGGACGAAAGCUGGGGCAGCGAACCGGAUUAGAUACCCGGGUAGUCCCAGCUGUAAACGAUGCUAGCUAGGUGUUGGGUCGGCCACGCGCCGCCCCAGUGCCGCAGGGAAGCCGUUAAGCUAGCCGCCUGGGGAGUACGGCCGCAAGGCUGAAACUUAAAGGAAUUGGCGGGGGAGCAC
rnacentral:rRNA from 1 species